UCGCUAGGAUCCCUUCGGGGUGACUUUGAUGCUGACGAGCGGCGGACGGGUGAGUAACGCGUAGGAAUCUACCCAGUAGCGGGGGAUAGCCCGAGGAAACUCGGAUUAAUACCGCAUACGCCCGUAAGGGGAAGGGGGGGGAAACUCUUCGGAGACCUCUCACUAUUGGAGGAGCCUGCGUCGGGAUUAGCUAGUUGGUAGGGUAAAGGCCUACCAAGGCAACGAUCCAUAGCUGGUCUGAGAGGACGAUCAGCCACACUGGAACUGAGACACGGUCCAGACUCC
rnacentral:rRNA from 1 species